AUUGAGAGACAGGGGCGUUCAUCGGAAGAUGGACUGAGAAGCACCCUUCGAACCUGAACCAGAUAAUGCUGGCGGAGGGAGUCGCUCGGGAAGCUUC
rnacentral:ncRNA from 2 species